AGGGCACCACCAGGAGUGGAGCCUGCGGCUUAAUUUGACUCAACACGGGAAAACUCACCCGGCCCGGACACUGGAAGGAUUGACAGAUUGAGAGCUCUUUCUUGAUUCAGUGGGUGGUGGUGCAUGGCCGUUCUUAGUUGGUGGAGUGAUUUGUCUGGUUAAUUCCGAUAACGAACGAGACUCUAGCCUAUUAAAUAGAUCGUUGGCUUACAAACGCCGGCGAGACUUCUUAGAGGGACAGGCGGCGAUUCAGCCGCACGAAACAGAGCAAUAACAGGUCUGUGAUGCCCUUAGAUGUCCGGGGCCGCACGCGCGCUACACUGAAGGGAUCAGCGUGUCUUCCCUUACCGAGGGGGACGGGAAACCCGCUGAACCCCCUUCGUGGUCGGGAUCGGGGCUUGCAAUUAUUCCCCGUGAACCAGGAAUUCCCAGUAAGCGCAAGUCAUAAGCUUGCGUUGAUUACGUCCAUGCCCUUUGUACACACCGACCGUCGCUACUACCGAUUGAACGUUUUAGUGA
rnacentral:rRNA from 1 species